rnacentral:rRNA from 1 species
GCGGUAACCCCAGCGCCACGAGUAGCAUCCACUUUUAUUGGGCCUAAAGUGUCCGUAGCCUGUCUAGAAAGUCUCCUGUGAAAGUGGUAGGCUCAACCUAUCGAAUGGCGGGAGAUACUACUGGACUAGAGACCGGGAGGAGUUAGAGGUAUUCUGAGGGAAGCGGUAAAAUGCGAUAAUCCUCG